rnacentral:rRNA from 1 species
GAUGAACGCUGGCGGCGUGCCUAAUACAUGCAAGUCGAGCGAACAGACGAGGAGCUUGCUCCUCUGACGUUAGCGGCGGACGGGUGAGUAACACGUGGAUAACCUACCUAUAAGACUGGGAUAACUUCGGGAAACCGGAGCUAAUACCGGAUAAUAUAUUGAACCGCAUGGUUCAAUAGUGAAAGACGGUUUUGCUGUCACUUAUAGAUGGAUCCGCGCCGCAUUAGCUAGUUGGUAAGGUAACGGCUUACCAAGGCAACGAUGCGUAGCCGACCCGAGAGGGUGAUCGGCCACACUGGAACUGAGACACGGUCCAGACUCCUACGGGAGGCAGCAGUAGGGAAUCUUCCGCAAUGGGCGAAAGCCUGACGGAGCAACGCCGCGUGAGUGAUGAAGGUCUGCGGAUCGUAAAACUCUGUUAUUAGGGAAGAACAAAUGUGUAAGUAACUAUGCACGUCUUGACGGUACCUAAUCAGAAAGCCACGGCUAACUACGU